GAAAAACUACCGUCAAGGCAUCAAAAGUUCGAUUCCCCGAGAUGGUAACGGUGUGUUCGGAUUGUUCCUUGGAGAAAACCAAUCGUUUGGGGCGAAUGUUUGCACUGAUUCCUGCAUCUUCAAGUUGUUAAACUACCAGGCCAACCAGCAGCGCCGAGCCAAAAAAACGACGCGGAGAAAUCAAACAUGACCAAUGCGGAGCGAAAAAUAUUCUAUUGAUUUUCCUGGUAAGUGAAUUAAAAAAAUGAUUUUGUCUUGUGAUCAUAACAUUAAAAAUAUUUUUUUUGGAAAGCAGCAGCUCAUCUGAUUGCGAUAGUUACACCAAUCGGUAAAAAUGUACGGUUUCAGUACGGUGAUGGAAAAAGUGCAGGAAAUCUGCAUUUUCAUUCCAACAAUUUAUAAUUAAACCUCCAACGUACGUCGUAAUGGGAAGCACCGGAUUGCUGUUAUGAGAGGAAUUGCCAUAAUCUCUUCCAGGUGAUUUAGUGGGUAUUCCGUCUCCGACAUAACUUGCCGAACAUAAUUCCUAAAAUUCACUGGGUUCAUAGCAACCGUUCUCCAAUUUCUCGGGCACCCCACGUUCGCCAGAUCACGCUCCACUUGGUCUAACCACCUCGCUCGUUGCGCCCCCGCUCGUCUUGUUCCUACCGGAUUCGUAGCGAACACCUGUUUUGCAGGACAGUCGUCCGGCAUUCUCGCAACAUGUCCCGCCCAGCGUAUCCGGCCAGCC